GCAUAUCAAUAAGCGGAGGAAAAGAAACCAACAGGGAUUGCCUCAGUAACGGCGAGUGAAGCGGCAAGAGCUCAAAUUUGAAAGCUGGCCCCUUCGGGGUCCGCGUUGUAAUUUGCAGAGGAUGCUUCGGGAGCAGCCCCCGUCUAAGUGCCCUGGAACGGGCCGUCAUAGAGGGUGAGAAUCCCGUCUGGGACGGGGUGUCUGCGUCCGUGUGAAGCUCCUUCGAAGAGUCGAGUUGUUUGGGAAUGCAGCUCUAAAUGGGUGGUAAAUUUCAUCUAAAGCUAAAUACUGGCCGGAGACCGAUAGCGCACAAGUAGAGUGAUCGAAAGAUGAAAAGCACUUUGAAAAGAGAGUUAAACAGCACGUGAAAUUGUUGAAAGGGAAGCGUUUGCGACCAGACUCGCCCGCGGGGUUCAGCCGGCAUUCGUGCCGGUGUACUUCCCCGUGGGCGGGCCAGCGUCGGUUUGGGCGGCCGGUCAAAGGCCCUCGGAAUGUAUCACCUCUCGGGGUGUCUUAUAGCCGAGGGUGCAAUGCGGCCUGCCCGGACCGAGGAACGCGCUUCGGCUCGGACGCUGGCGUAAUGGUCGUAAAUGACCCGUCUUGAAACACGGACCAAGGAGUCUAACAUCUACGCGAGUGUUCGGGUGUCAAACCCGUACGCGCAGUGAAAGCGAACGGAGGUGGGAGCCCCCCUCGCGGGGCGCACCAUCGACCGAUCCUGAUGUCUUCGGAUGGAUUUGAGUACGAGCGUAGCUGUGGGGACCCGAAAGAUGGUGAACUAUGCCUGAAUAGGGCGAAGCCAGAGGAAACUCUGGUGGAGGCUCGCAGCGGUUCUGACGUGCAAAUCGAUCGUCGAAUUUGGGUAUA
rnacentral:rRNA from 1 species